rnacentral:rRNA from 1 species
UACGUAUGGACCGAGCGUUGUCCGGAUUUAUUGGGCGUAAAGGGUACGUAGGCGGUUUUGUGGGUCGACAUUAAAAGGCAUUGGCUCAACCGAUGUUCGGUGUGGAAACUAUAAAGCUUGAGUAGAUGAGGGGCAGGUGGAAUUCCUAGUGUAGCGGUGAAAUGCGCAGAUAUUAGGAGGAAUACCGGUGGCGAAGGCGACUUUCUGGCCAUAGACUGACGCUGAGGUACGAGAGCGUGGGUAGCAAACAGG